rnacentral:rRNA from 1 species
UCCUACAGUCUUGCCACCUUGAAUGUGCCAGAUCGCUUCUGAUCUUGGAAGCUAAGCAGGGUCAGGUCUGAUUAGUGCUUGGAAGGGAGACCACCUGGGAAUACCAGGUGCUAUAGGCG